rnacentral:tRNA from 1 species
AGUUCUGUACUUUAAUAAAAAGAUUUGAUUUGCAAUUAAAAAUUGAGUAAAUUACACUCCAGAACUA